rnacentral:tRNA from 1 species
GCUCGUCGGGCUCAUAACCCGAAGGUCGUCGGUUCAAAUCCGGCCCCCGCAA